AUCGUCUUUGUCCGGGUGCGCAAUAUUCUGCGACCGAAGGUUAUCUUCUUUCCGAAGGGGCAGUACACGAUAUAGAAAGGAAAGCUGCAAAAAACGAGAGCGAAAUUGUUUCGGUAUUGACUGAGAGGAUUUAAUAGCGUUUGAUGCAUGUCAGAAAACAAAUUUUAACAUGCCGGCCCCGUGUUUUGCAGCAAACGGAAAAACUGCUGCGGACCUGAGGCUGCGAUAGGCAGAGGAUAUUAUUUGAGAAUAAUUUGCAGACCAGGAUCAACAAAGCAUGUUCUCCAUUAAGCAGAGUGAUCAGGAUCUGAGUAUCAUUGACACUUAACUGGGAAAGGGAAGAGGUUUAACCAUUCUAUCCGUGGGAGAAUACUCCGGACCUUUCGUGAUCUAAUCCCGUAACAGUGUGAGCUGCUACAAUGCACGUGCUAGUAAAGGCGGGAAUAAGAGGACAGAUGAGAUGACUGCUUGGCUGGAGAUAUAACUUGAUGUCUCAGGAAUCUAAACCUUUUGAGACUGUUUGUUUGUUUCUGGGUAAGGUAGGACAUGCACAAGGGUGAUGAAGGGUCUAGGCCCGAAGCGUCAGCUUUUGUGCUCCUGAGAUGCUGCUGGGCCUGCUGUGUUCAUCCAGCCUCACAUUUUGUUGUCUUGGAUUCUCCAACAUCUGCAGUUCCCAUUAUCUCAGAUAUUCUUGUUGAUGCUUUUGCUCGUUCCACUGGUGAGGAUUUAAACUCGUAUGACAGGGGAAUGGGAACCAAAGUAUAGCUUUAGCAGUAAAAGACUCAAAUCAGCAAAUGGGAUGUGAAAUUAGUUCAUGAUGUUGUCAGUGGCUGAAAGAUUAAAAGAAAGAAGGAUUAAUCAAGAUCAAAUCUCUUUUCAUACAUCAACCCUGAGAUCCCAGGAAUUGGUCUGGUGAACCUUCUUUACAAUCAUUCAGUAGCCACGGCAUCCCUCCUUUGGAAGGGAGAACAAAGGUGCACACUACUCCAGGUGUGGUCUCACCAAGGCCCUUAUAGAAAGACAUCCCUCUUCCUUUACUCGAAUCCUGUCACAAUGAAGGGCAAAAUAUCAUUUGCAUUCUUCACUACUUGCUGCUGCCUGUUUCCUAAAAGAGAAUAGGAGAGAAACACGGAACUAAAUGGGGUCAGACACUCCGGUAACAUUGUUGAACACACUGUCCCCAUUGUAUCGGUGCUGGCCAUCAAGCACCUGUUUAAACUAGGCCCAUUUUCUGGCACUCGGUGUGUAACCUAUAUUAUGGUGCAAUGGAUGAUCAUCUCAACGCUUCUUCAAGAUUGCAAUGGUUCCUGCAUCUAUCACCAUUUCAGAUGCUGCCAGAUCUGCUGUGUAUCUCCAUCUUUUUCUGUUUUUAUUUCAGAUUUCGGGUAUUUUGCUGCAUCUUAGUCCUUCAGAAGGAUCAGAGGGUAUGGGGAGAAAACAGGAAUUGAAUUCAUUUUCAGAUGUAUAAAAUGCCUGUCCUGCAUGUCUGCCCAAACUCUAUCUCUUUUUGUAGUUUUGGGCAAACGCUGACUUCCCUGAAGGACAUUUAAUGAAUCAGUUCAGUUUUACUGACAAUCCAGCAGUGCCCCUCAGUGUUGGAUCCACAAUUGACCAGAUUAAUUUCUGAGUUUCACAAUCUUUGUGUGUGUUCUUCUGGUUUCUCUCUCUCUACUUUACAUUUUUUUCAGUUUGAAAUUUGGAUUGCAUUCAGAGAAAUCAAACAAAACCACAUCCAGAUCUGACACUCAAUCUGUUUGUCAUAACCUAAUUAUCUCAGGAUUUUGAACAUUGAAGGAAGAAGCACUGUUCACACCAGGGGGAAAUGCGUGGAGUCUGUGAAGAUUCAUCUGAAAUGUCCAAACACCAGCGCAGUCACACUGGGGAGAGACUGUGGAAAUGUGGGGAUUGUUGGAAGGGAUUUAUUUACCCAUCCCAGCUGGAAAUGCACCAACGCAGUCACACUGGGGAGAAACCAUUCAUUUGCUCUGAUUGUCGGCUGGGAUUCACUCAGUCAAACAACUUGCUGAAACACCAGCGAGUUCACAGUGGGGAGAGACCGUUUGCCUGCUCUGUGUGUGGGAAAGGAUUUGCGCAGACAUCUCACUUGCUGAAACACCAGCAAAUUCACACAGGAGAGAGUCCAUUCACUUGCUCUGUAUGUGGGAAAGAAUUUGCUUUGUCAUCGAGCCUGUUGAUACAUCAGCUAAUUCACAAUGGGGAUAGACUGUUCACCUGCUCUAUUUGUGGGAAAGGAUUCGUUUCAUCAACCAACCUGCUGAGACACCAGCAAGUUCACACCGGAGAGAAAUCAUUCACCUGUUCUGCGUGUGGGAAAGGAUUUACUCACUCAUCCAACCUGCUGACACAUCAGCGACUUCAUACUGGAGAGAGACCAUUCACCUGUUGGGAGUGUGGAAAAGCAUUCACUCAGACAGUUCACCUGCUGAUACAUCAGCGAAUUCACACUGGAGAGAAACCGUUCACGUGUUCCGAGUAUGGGAAGGGAUUUGCUCACUCAACCAACCUGCUGAGACACCAGCGAGUUCACUCUGGGGACAGACCAUUCACUUGUUCUAUGUGUGGAAAGGGAUUCACUGAAUCAUCCCAACUGUUAACACACCAGCAAGUUCACCACAACCACAUUUGAAGGAUUUUGCUCUUAAAUCAAGGAAUGAACUUUGAUCUUUAGGCUGUUUUGUGUGUCAUUCGUCCCUGCUCAAAACUUGAUCUUCUCUUGGGAAAUAAGGUAGGGCAGGUGACUGAGGGGUCAGUGGGAGAAAUAUUUUGGGGCCUAUGAUCAUAGUUGUAUUAGUUUUAAAAUAGUUACGGAGAAGGAUAGACUUGGUCUAAAAGUUAAAGUUUUAAAUGGGUCUAAGGCCAAUUUUGACACUAUUAUGCCCCUUAAAAGCACAGUAAGACUGCCUAUGUAUGGGAAUGCGCAAGAUGGGUGAGGUGCAAAACAAGUAUUUUACAUCAGUAUUUACUGUGGAAAGGGAUAUGAAAGCUAGAAAACUUAGAAAUGAAUGUGUAUCUUGAAAAGUUCCAUAUUAUAGAGGAGAUGGUGCUGGAUGCCUUGCAGAGCAUAACAGUGGAUAAAUCCCCAGGACCUCUUCAGGUGUACUCUCGAACUUUGCGGGAAGCUCGGCUUGUGAUUGGGCCCCUUGCUCAGAUAUUUGCACCAUUGACAGUCAUCGGUGAGCUGUUAGACUGGAGGUUGCCUAAUGUGGUGCCAUUGUUUAAGAAAGGUGGUAACCUAAAACCAGGGAACAAUAAACUUUUGGUGAGCCUGACAUCGGUUGUGGGUAAGUUAUUGGCGGCAAUUCUGAGGGAUAGGAUUUACUUGUAUUUGGAAAGCGUGGACUGAAUGGGGAUUGUCAACAUGGCUUUGUCCGUAGGAAAUUAUGUCUUACUAACUUGAUUGAGUUUUUUUUUGAAGAAGUUACAAAGAAUAUUGAUGGCAGACUGGUGGAUGUUUUUGAUAUGGAUUUCAGUAAGUAAAAUUCCGCAUGGUAGCCUGAUUAACAAGGUGAGAUCACAUGGAAUCCAGGGAGAGCUGGCCAUUUGGAAAGGCCUUUGGCCUGCAGUAUGCUGCAAGGAUUGGUACUUAGUAACUAUAACUCCUACAUUCACAUCCAAAUCAUCUUUAUAAAUGACAGAAAUGAGUGGACCCAGCUCUGAUCCUUGCGGCACACCACUGGUCACACACCUCCAGUCUACAAAGCAACCCUCCACCAGCACUCUGUCUUCUACCUUCAAGUCAGAUCUGUAUCCAAAUGACUGGUUCUCUCUGUAUUCCAUGUGAUCUGACCUUGCUAAUCAGUCUACCAUGAGGAACCUUGUCAAACGCCUUAGUGACAUCCAUCUCGAACACAUCCACUGCUUUGCCCUAAUCAAUCCUCUUUGUUCCUUCUUCAAAAAAAAUCAAGUUAGUGAGACAUGAUUUCCUACACACACAGCCAUGUUGACUAUCCCUAAUCAGUCCUUUCCUUUCCAAAUAUUUCAAGUACUAUCCCUCAGGAUUCCCUCCAACGACUUGCCCACCACUAAUAUCAGGCUCACUGGCCUAUAGUUCACUAGCUUUUCCUUACCACCUUUCUUGAAUAAUAUUAGCCAACUUCUGGUCCCUCACCUGUGGCUAUCGAUGAUACAAAUAUCUCAGCAAGGGGCCCAGCAAUCAUUUGCCCAGCUUCCCUCCAAGUUCUUGGAUACACCUGAUCAGGUCCCAGGAAUUUGUCCACUUUUAUGCGUUUUAAGCCGUUCAGCAUCACUAUCUCUGAAAUGUGGCUAAUUUUCAAGAUGUUGCUAUUUAUUUCCCCACAGUCUGUAUCUUCCAUAUCCUUUUCUGUAGUAAAUAGUGAUAUACUUGCAUAGUACUUGUUUUAUUAUAUUCCCCAAUUCUUGCAAAUCCACACAUAGGCGGCAUUGCUGCUUUUUAAGGGGCCCUAUUCUCCCUAGUUAUACUUUUGUUCUUAAUCUAUUUGUAGAAUCCUUCUGGAUUUUCCUUUUAAUGCUAUUUGCCUAAGCUACCUCAUGUCCCCUUUUUGCCGUCCUAAUUUCCCUCUUAAGUAUAACAUUGAGUGAAUCCUUAUAAGAGUAUAAUGACAAUCUCUGCUGUCUAUACCUGACAUGUCCUUCCUUUUUCUUGACCAAAACCUUGAUUUCUCUAGUCAUCCAGAAUUCCCUACACCCACCAGCCUUGUCCUUCACCCAAACAGGAAUAUACUGUCCCUGAGCUCUCGUUAUCUUAAUUUUUGAAGGCUUCCCACUUCUGAACCUUUCCGUUUUACCUGCAAAUAUCUGCCCCAAUCAACUUUUGAAAGCUCUUGUGUAAUACCAUUAAAAUUGGCCUUCCUCCAAUAUAGAACUUUAACUUUCAGACCCAGUCUACACUUUUCCAUCACUAUUUUAAAACUAAUAGAAUUAUGGUCACUGGCCCCAAAGCCCUCCCAUGCUGAUACCCUAGUCACCUGUCCUGCUUUAUUUGCCAAGAGCAGGUCAAGUUUUGCACUUUCUCUAGUCGGUACAUCACAUACUGAAUCAGAACAUUUUCCUGCACACUCUCAGCAAAUUCCUCUCCAUUCAAACCUUUUACACCAUGGAAUUCCCAGUCUGUGUUUGGAAAGUUAAAAUCCAUUCCAUAACCACCCUGUUAUUCUUACAGAUAACUGAGAUCUUCUUUCAAAAUUGUUUGUCAGAUUCCUGCUGACUAUUGGGAGGCCAAUAAGGUGAUCAUCCCUUUCUUAUUUUCAGUUCCACCCAAAUAACUUCCCUGGAUGUGUUCUCAGAUAUAUCCUGCCUAAGUAAAGCCAUAAUGUUACCCUUGCUCAAAAAUGCCACUUUUCACUCCUCUCUUGCUUUGCUUCCCCUCCCGCUUUUGACUUUCUAUCCUUUCUAUAGGAUCUAUAUCUUAGAACAUUAAGCUGGCAGCCCUGUCCAUCCCUGAGCCUUGUCUCUGUAAUUGCAAUGACAACCCAGUUCCAUAUUUCCAACCUUGCCCUGAGUUCAUCUGCCUGCGUUGUUAGGCCUCUGGCAUUGAAAUAAAUGGUGUCUAAUUUAUUAGUCCUUUUACAUUAAUCUUAAUAACAAUUAUGUAACUGUAGGGUAGGUUUUGAAAAUGAUGAUGUUUUAUUGCUGUAUAUCAACACAUUCACACUGGGUAAAGACAAUGCACCUGCACACUGUGAAAAGGGAUUUCCUAGUUCAUUAGGACUGGUUUUCAUAGAAUUCAGAGUAUUCCUACAGUAUGGAAACAGGCUGUUUGGCCCAAGAAUUCACAGAAAACCUCAGAGCAUGCCACUCAGACACAUGUCCUGGUAACCCACCUAAUCUACACAUCCCUGAACACUCUGGGCAAUUUAGCUUGGCCAAUCCACCUAACCAACACAUGGGAGGAAACCAGAACACCCAGAGGAAACCCACGCAGCCACAGGGAGAACAUGCCAACUCCACACACUGAGUUGCCCAAGGGUGGAAUCAAAUCUGGGUCCCUGGCAUUGUGAGCCAGCAGUGCUAACCGCUGAGCCACUGUGGAUAACCACCAAUGAGUUCCCAAGAAUCUGUAGGAAUUUUUGUUGUUGCUCCUAUUAUCUGUAUCCACGUCAUGUUAUCUGGGCAUGUUUCUCAUGAUGUUUGAAAACACCACAUGUCUGGUUACCUAGUUGGGAGAAAAAAAACAAUAUAAGUCAACUUUUUAUUAAAACUACUGUGCAUUGAGUCUUCAUCUCAAAAGCAGACUAGUUUAUUUUGAAAGGCUCUCCAUCUCCCCUAACUCCUCCAUCCUCACCUCCAACAUGCGCGAGGAACGUGUGGUUUUUAUUUUUCACUCAGAAUGACAGUCAGUACACUUCAUAUGAGCAAUUGGGAACAGGGUCAUCCCAUAAUGCUUGAAACUUAAUGUACUAAUGGUACACUAUUACAAUAAUAACCAUUACAAUUCUUUUCUGAACCUUUUCAAGUUUUACAACACCCUUGCUUUAGCAGGAAGACUAGAAUUACACACAGCGGUUACACCUAAACCAGAAUGGGACCUGCAUCCUUGUGGGGGGUGGGGGGUGCGUUUCCAGUACUGUUGAGGGUCUUGUAAAUAACUUAGCAGUGGGCUGAAAUCCAGAGAGAAUGUUCAAAAUAAUAAUAAGGGCCAAAAAGAGGAGAGACAAGAGUCUGGAAGGCAUUGUCACAGGCCAGUUUAAGGUAUAAGGGAGUUUAAGGGUGAAUGGUAUUUAAUGCUUGGAGUCAGAUGAAUAAGGCAGAUGAUUCAAGGAUACAAAUUAAUGGGGCCAUAAAGGCAUUGCUGUCAUUUGGACAUGGUUAGCAGCUCAGUAUUCCAGGUUACAGGGCCUUCAUGCAAGGCAGUGGAGGUGGUAAAGGAGGAGAUAUUGUUAUUUUGUUUAGGGAAUCUAUUACAGCAAUAAGGAGGGGUGGCAUCUUUGAAAACUCCACAAAUAAAUAAGGAGGCAAAUUUUGAGAAAGUGUAAAAGUAGCAGGAUUGUGGUAGCAGGAGCUUUCAACUUCCUCAACAUUAAUGUCGUCAUCACAGUGUGAAGGAUUUAUCAGAAUUUUUAAAAUACAUCCAGGACUGCAUUUUUUUCAGCCACUAAGUAGAAGUCCCAACAAGGAAGGGAAAGGUCCUGGACUUAACUUUAGGUUACAAAGUCGAGCAAGUGGUUGAAGUUUCAGUGGGAUGGCAUUUUGCAGGUAGUUAUUAUAACUUUUCGAUUCAGGAUUUGUAAGAAAAGGACAAGGACGGGUCUUAAGUCCUAAACUGCUGCUGAAGUUAUGAAGAAAGUAAAUGGAAUUUUGGCCUUAAUUGCGAGGUGUUGGUGUUUGAGGAUAAGGACAUCUUGUAACAACUGUAUUGGAUGUUGGUGAAGCCAUACUGGUAUAUUAUUAACAGUUUUGGUACUCCUAUUUAAGAAAGGAUAUGCUGGUGUUGAAUGCAGUGCAAAAGAGAUUCGCUAAGCUGAUUCAUGGGAUGAAAGAGUUAGCCUAUCAUGAAUAGCUGGAGGAAGGGAAUUUGCAGAGGGGAAAUACUAAAUAAUUAAACAGGUGGUGCCCAGUGUUGGGCUCAUAUUCACAACCCUGCACUUAAGCAGCGUAUGUUCUGACAACUGAGCUAACUUGGCCUCCCACAGUCAGUGUUCAAAUCCUGCUUUAUAAGGUGAUGAAUGGGUUUUUCACUGACGCCACACAGUCCAAGGAAGUAAAAGGUAAUUGCUUUAGAAAAUCCCAAGGUUCCAAUGUAUUCUUCUCAUUCACAUUGCAAUCCAUUUUCAGUACUUGCUCCAUGAUUUAACAUUGAAAAUUAAUUUCGUGAUGUUUGCCUGUAUGACUCCAGUCACUCGGUCAAAUGGUGAAUAAAACUGUUUCAAUAAACCAAUUCUUUUCAGCUACAGUAUAAGAAAUGUUCCA